UUUUAAUAGUUUUUUCUUUUCUUCCUAGUGAAGGUGAAAAUAUUAAUGCUUCUACUGUUUUUGUUGUGCUAGGUCACUUUGACCACUCAUCUUAAACCAGUGGAACUCCAUGAAAUGUUACAAAUUUACAUCAGCCCAGAAAUGAAUAUUGGAUGUGCUUGCUAAACCUGAAGUUCUACAUGUCUGAGGAGGUAAAAGUUCAAGAUGGCAAUGUAAAUCUCAGCAUUGAUUUCAGCCCUUCUUACUCUACUCCAGAACUUGACACAGUUGAUAAUACUUCCUCUCCACUGAGAUUUACAGAACACCAGAACUUCCUCCCAUUACUUGGGAUGAACUGGUCAAAGGAACAUCAGAGUAUAUCUACAGUUAGCUAAAUUUUAAAAGUUUUAAUCUUGGAACUUCUAGAUGAAAAAAGACUUUGAAACCAACCAUUCUGAAAUUUAUGAGCUCCCCUGCUACCAAAACCUUGCAAGCCCAAUGCAGUAGAGAUAAUGAAGAUCCCAGAUUCCAGUGGUUGCCAAAUUUAUGGUGCUUUAUUUUACAUAGAUUGUAUUGACAGCAUCAUCUGGAAAGGAAAUGGAGCAAAACAUUCAUUUUCAACAAGUUAAUUCUGUUAUUGAUUUUAGAUUUCAUACCUAUACUCUUGUAAUUGAUCCCUCAGUACUUUUGGAAUCCACAAUGGGGUGUUGGUUGAUGGAGGUGCUUUGGUUUAUAUUGCUUUUUAAGUCAUCAAGCAAUUCUUAAAAGUGAUUAAAAAGAGUAAUUGCCUAAGUCAGUAACUCCUGUAGAGUCUCUAAGACCAUGUCUAAGCUAUUCAUCAUAAAGUGAGCUUAGAAUUCACUGCAUUCAUAUUUUAAACAUUCUGUCACCAUUUAUAAUCUGAAUUUGCACUCCCAAUGUAAGAAACAAGAUAAUGUGCUAGGGUAUGGUUAGAUAAUGUCCUGGAUGCAGUGGAAAGAAGAAAAGGAGACAAAUACAGAAAUAAGGUUACCACAUCCUUUUUAAUCUGUUUAACAGUAAUUUCCAUCAGGAUGUCAGAUCAGGUCACAUUUACAAAUGAGCUAUGGAAUCAGUACAUGAAAAAUGAGCUAAGGAGGAGGCUGAUAUUAACUCUGAAAUUUAUUAUUUUGUACAUUUGACUAGAAUAAAAAUAGAACUAGAAUAUCGAACA
rnacentral:lncRNA from 1 species